GGUUCUAUGGCUUAGUUGGUUAAAGCGCCUGUCUUGUAAACAGGAGAUCCUGGGUUUGAGUCCCAGUAGAGCCU